CUUUUUGAAUCCAACAUUGGUGGAAUUACCAGACAUGCCUAGCAAGUGUUCACAUUAUUACCUUCGGUCCUAAGAAUUCACUUACAUGUCAUUUGCUACUCUUCUUCCCAAUUUUUUGGUUUACGUGCCUUCUUGGCCAUAUGUCGUUUGAGUGAUAUAGUUGUACGUGUCUUCCGCUACGUAUUGCAAUCGAACCGGGUGCAAUCAUCUGUCCCUCCUAGAAUUUUCUUGUGUUUAGUGGAUCAAAUUUUGCGAUCAAACGAUUCUCUUUCAGCUGAAGACAAACGCAUAUAUGUAUAUACUCGUUCUAUUUCACUUCCCAUCUUGGUUUAGCUUUGUUGUUUCUAGGUACACAGAUUAUAGCCCAAACUCCACAACCUGGUCAAGUGGUUACUGGAUUGGACCGUGCAAUCAUUACCAUGAAGAAGGGGGAGAUGGUAGGGUUCAUGCUACCCCCUGAUUUGGGUUAUGGAGCCACAGGCAGAAAUGGUGUCCCUCCUAAUUGUGUUAUUUAGUUUGAAGUGGAUCUUAUCUCAUGGAUUACAGUAGUAGAUGUUUGCAAGAAUGAUGAAAUUAUCAAGAAAGUGAUGGAAAAGGAAGAACAAAUUGGCCCACUCCCAUCUCAGUUCCUACCCAGGAGCGAGAUCAGAAACCUUAACAGUCUUUGGCACCCUUGGGAGAGGGAAAAGUUGUGUAUUUUACAUUGAUUGAUCUUUGGAAUUCUUUUGAUGAAUGGAGGGCUUACGAUGCUGGAGUUCAAAUCAGAGUGGACAAUGGAGAAACUCUAAUUCAUUACUAUGCGCCUUACCUCUCUGCAAUCAAAAUGUUUAUGAGCAACUCGUUGAAUAGUUUAAGCGAGAAUCUAUCAAGAUAGGAUCAAUGUUCCUCGAAGGAUGGAGGGUUUGAGCAAGAGAGCCUUUGACAUCUGAGUGAGAGACUGGGUUACCUUUAUUUUCAGUAUUUUUAGUUUAUUUUGCUAUACAAAGCAAUUAACAUAUUUAGGUUCUUCACAUUCAUAACAGUUGCUCUAUUUUUACGAAUAGUUCCAUUUCAAAAUUCUGAUUAGUGAAAGAACUGGAAACUCUAUGAUGAAACAAAGAUUGGGCUGGGAUUGAUAGCAUUUGGCAUACUGUUCUCAUUCUUAGGAACUAUUUUAUUUUUUGACAAGGGACUACUUGCCAUGGGAAAUGUAAGUAAAAAGUUUCUCUCAUUAUAAUUUUAUUGCUCACUUUCUUCCAUUAUUGAGCAUUUUCCGUUUAGCUUACUGUGUAUUUGAUGCCUGCUUAACGUAGUGUUACUUUGGUAAUACUGAAUCAGAUCCUCUUCUCAUCAAGGGUGACGAUGACCAUGCGACCGAAGUCCUUGAUGCGGUUCUUCACGAAAUGUAGCAAUUUCAAGGUUGGUUUGUUCUAUGUGUCUCCAUUCAGUGUGUAAACUCAUCUCCCGUUUUUAUUUGCCUUGUGAUGAUUGUACAAGGAACUAUUUCUUUUAGUGUGGGCUUUUUCUUGGUUGUUAUAGGAUGGAUUAUGUUGGGAAUGAUUUUGGAGGCAUAUGGGUUCAUCGUUCUUUUUAGGUUCAUUGGAUUUUCCUCCAAUGAUUUCAUGUCCUCUGCUCAUAUUACUUAAUAUUAGUAGCUGAUGGGGUAUUUUGUGCAGUAGAUUUUGGUCAACACUGCCAGUUUUUGUGCAGAAGAUACCUAUUAUUGAGUGGGUGUUCCAACAACCAUUUGUUAGAUCGGUACGUUUAUCUUGCAAUUUAAUAUAAUAUUUUUUUAGAGAGAAUUCUCAUGGAUUUCUGCUGCUUGUGUUCUUUCACGGAAGCCACUUCUGUUGGUUUGUUGUCCAUAUAAUUUAUAUUGAGAACUGGAAUGCAGUUUGGGAAUCAUGGGGUGCAUUUUGUAUGAUUGAGACCUUUUCUUUAUCUUGGUCAUGAACAUAUAAUACUCAAAAUAAUAAGGCAGCCCCACUUAAUCAAGAUAUUGCA